AGUCAGUCUGGGCUCGCGAAACUCAGGUGUGCCAAGCUCGCGCUCAAACAAGAAAAGAAUCAUAACCGGCGCACCAUGAGCAAACAAUAAGCCCACAAAAU